GACAGAGGUGCCGAGCGUUAGGCGGAAUCACUGGGCUUAAAGCGUGUGUAGGCGGAUGCCUAAGUACCUUGUGAAAUCCCACGGCUCAACCGUGGAACUGCUGGGUAUACUGGGCGUCUUGAGCCAACUAGGGGCGACCGGAACAAACGGUGGAGCGGUGAAAUGCGUAGAUAUCGUUUGGAACGCCGAUGGUGAAAACAGGUCGCUGGGGUUGUGCUGACGCUGAGACACGAAAGCCAGGGGAGCAAACGGG
rnacentral:rRNA from 1 species